rnacentral:rRNA from 1 species
GUGAGUCAUCGAAUCUUUGAACGCACCUUGCGCUCCUUGGUAUUCCGAGGAGCAUGCCUGUUUGAGUGUCAUUAAUAUAUCAACCUUCUCUUAUUUGAGUUGUUGGAUGUGGGGGUUUGCUGGACUCUUAAAUGGAUUCAGCUCCCCUGAAAUGCAUUAGCAGAACAAACCUGUUCAUUGGCGUGAUAAUUAUCUAUGCUAUUGAAUGUGAGGGCAGUUCAGCUUUCUAAUCGUCCUAGGACAAUUUAUCAUUAAUGUGACCUCAAAUCAGGUAGGACUACCCGCUGAACUUAAGCAUAUCAAUAAGCGGAGG